AUACUUAUCUGGCAGGGGCGAUUCCACGAUCAGGAAGGUGGAUUACCCAGGGUUAGGCUUGCCCAUUGCACUCUGGGUGUGUUGACUCCUGCGAUUUUCCCAAAUGUGGGAAACUCGACUGCAUAAUUUAUGAUAGUGGGGGACUGCGUGCACAGUCUCCCC